GAUGAAGAACGUAGCGAAAUGCGAUAAGUAAUGUGAAUUGCAGAAUUCAGUGAAUCAUCGAAUCUUUGAGCGCACAUUGCGCCCGCCAGUAUUCUGGCGGGCAUGCCUGUCUGAGCGUCAUUUCAACCCUCAUGCCCCUAGGGCGUGGUGUUGGGGAUCGGCCAAAGCCCGCGAGGGACGGCCGGCCCCUAAAUCUAGUGGCGGACCCGUCGUGGCCUCCUCUGCGAAGUAGUGAUAUUCCGCAUCGGAGAGCGAUGAGCCCCUGCCGUUAAACCCCCAACUUUCCAAGGUUGACCUCAGAUCAGGUAGGAAUACCCGCUGAACUUAAGCAUAUCAAUAAGCGGAGGA
rnacentral:misc_RNA from 1 species